UAAGAGAUGAUCGCUCUCGCCAAACGGCGCGGCGGGCUUGCCCGCCGUGAUUUGUGGCGGGGGAGGAAAGUCCGAGCUCCAAAGAGCGUAGCGCUCCGUAAUUCGGAGGCCCGUUUGUCGAAAGAUAAACGGGACGGAAAGUGCCACAGAAAAUAAACAGCCUGGCCAAGGAAACUUGCCCGGUGAAGGUGAAACGGCGGCUUAAGAGACCACCGGUCCCAAGGCAACGCGGGACGCAUGGCAAACCCCGCUUGGAGAAAGACCAAAUAAAAGACAUAGGCUCGCCUUAAAAAUACAUCGAGCCUGGGAAUGACUCGUUCCCCAAGUCUUGGGUUGGUCGCAUGAGACGUCCGCGAGAGCGGCGUUCAAGACAGAUGAUCAUCACCCGAAAGGGGACAGAACUCGGCUUAACUUGGGGC
rnacentral:RNase_P_RNA from 1 species